rnacentral:lncRNA from 1 species
CAUGUAAAAACUAUAAGAUGCUAAUCUAUAAGGAAAUACUAGCACCUCCUUCAAAAGUUAGAACUUAUUUUAAGAAAAUUCUGGCCGGGCACGGUGGCUCACCCCUGUAAUCCCAGCACCUUGGGAGGCCGAGGCAGGAUGGCAGUGCCUGCUUUUCAUCUUUGCUGCCCAUGAGCAAUUGAAAUGUAGUUGUGUGUGCUCUUUUGGAGAACGAUUUUAAAUCAGCCGAAAUGCUCUGUAAUGUUACUAACCUUCUCUGGCUGAGGCCGGAGCCAGCUCCCUCGGCUUGCGGGGAGGUGUGGAGGGAGAGGCACGGGUGGGAACCGGGGCUGCGCACAGCGCUUGCGGGCCAGCUAGAGUUCCGGGUGGGCGUGGGGUUGGCGGGCCCGCACUCGGAGCCGCCGGCCGGCCCUACCUGCCCCAGGUAGUGAGGGGCUUAGCACCCAGGCCAACAGCUGCGGAGGGUGUGCUGGGUUCCCCAGCACUGCUGGCCCACCGGCGCUGUGCUCGAUUUCUCACCGGGCCUUAGCUACCUUCUUGCGGGGUAGGGCUUGGGACCUGCAGCCCACCAUGCCUAAGUCUCCCCCGCGUUACCGCCGCCGCCGUGGGCUCCCGCGCAGCCUGAGCCUCCCCAACGAGCACCGCCCC